AGCAGCCGCGGUAAUUCCAGCUCCAAUAGCGUAUAUUAAAGUUGUUGCAGUUAAAAAGCUCGUAGUUGAAUUUCGGGGUUAGUAGGUUGGUCAUGCCUCUGGUAUGUACUGGUCUCACUGAUUCCUCCUUCCUGAUGAGCCGUAAUGCCAUUAAUUUGGUGUUGCGGGGAAUUUGGACUGUUACUUUGAAAAAAUUAGAGUGUUUAAAGCAAGCUAACGCUUGAAUACAUUAGCAUGGAAUAAUGAAAUAGGACGUUCGAUCCUAUUUUGUUGGUUUCUAGGAUUGACGUAAUGAUUAAUAGGGAUAGUUGGGGGCAUUAGUAUUCAAUUGUCAGAGGUGAAAUUCUUGGAUUUAUUGAAGACUAACUACUGCGAAAGCAUUUGCCAAGGAUGUUUUCAUUAAUCACGAACGAAAGUUAGGGGAUCGAAGACGAUCAGAUACCGUCGUAGUCUUAACCAUAAACUAUGCCGACUAGGGAUCGGAUGAUGUUAAUUUUUAAUGACUCAUUCGGCGCCUUAC
rnacentral:rRNA from 1 species